AUGGGAACUAUCCUAUGAUUGCAGCCCUCGAGGACUUCACACUCUGAUUCUAACCUACAUUCAGUCUUCAGAGUUCGUCAGAAUGUUUGGUUUAAUCUUCCUAUCUGCACUGGGAUUCUUCCAUGCUCUUGGGACUGUUUCCUUUGGUCAGAGACGAGGCUUUUAGGUGCCUGUCUAGCCUUAGCUGUUGCUCCAUCACUGUUGUUUUGCCUAGAGGCUGGGAUAGAGGUAAACAAAAAAGAAAAAGAGGAAAAAGUUAUUUCCUCCCAGCUCUUUUUGAACCCUAGGAGUACACAUUGUGGUCAGAGAAUAUACUGUGUAUCAUUUAAGUUUUUUUAAAUUUGUGAGACUUGCCUUAGGGCUCAACGUAUGGUCAAUUUUUGUAAAUGAUUUCUUUCUGCUUGAAAGAGUAUCUAUUUUGUAAUUAUUGAGUGCUGUGUCAUAUUAAUAUCUAUUUAGAUCCAGUUUGUUCAUGCUAUUCAAAUCUAUAUUUCUACCCUCUCCCUUUAUUUGAGUCAUUUGUUCUAUCACCUACUGAGAAGAAUACAAAAUUUAUUAUGAUUAUGGAUUUUUUCUCCCAUUUCUUUUUAUAAUUCUGCUAAGUUUUGCUUUAUAUAUUUGGAGGCUAUGUUAUUUACAUGCAUACAAAUUUAAAAUUUUGCAUCUUCCUGAUAAAUUAUACCUUUGUAGGUAUUAAUGCUUUUGGGCAUUUAGUCUACUUUGAAUACAAUUAAUACAGCUAGAGCAGCUGCAUUUCAGUUUGUUAGUAUGACUUUUUCCCAUACUUUCAACUAUUUUCUGUAAUUUUAAGUUUAAUUCUUGAUUAAUUUAAAAAAAUAUUAAUUUUUGUCUUCUGGUCCAGUUGCAUUUAAUGUAAUUACUGAGUUAUUUGAAUUUACAUUUGACAUCUUACAUUUUGCUUCUUAUAUGUUUUAUUUGUUCUAUAAUCUUGUUUUCUCUUCUUUUUUGGAUUUGAGUAUUUUAAUUAUUUCUGCCUUCUAUUUAGUGUGUUUGUUCUCCCUCCGGAGUAACAUUAGUUACCAGUUACCUGUCCACCAUUCCAGAAUGAAAUAGUCUGUGCAUAUACAGUAUGUACUCACUCCUUUAAAAGUAGUAGCAUGAUAUAUACAUGGUUCUGCACUUUAGAUUUUUUUAAAUAAAUAGACUUAAAAAACAUACUGCAGUUUGCUUGCUGUUUUUACACUCUUGGACAGUACAGGAACCUUGGAACCCUGUGACUCCAAGUAUGUGCUCUGAUUUUGUAUUUUUAUUCUUUAUACAAUUGAAACCUCAUCACACGUUAUUAUUGCUUUAAUAAUUCAAUGUUGUUUGAUAUCUCUUUCUGGAUUCUAAAACAGAGUAUCUGUCUCCUUGGUGAUGGGUUGCUGGGUGGGGCUGGUUCAGCUAGAUAAUUAUUUAGGAAAAACUAAGAAUAUGCUAACAGAUGGAAAAAGCCUCUGUCAUUAAAAUAUAUAUAUAUAUAUAUAUAUAUAUAUAUAUAUAUAUGAAUGAGAGAAACCGUGACUGAUUUUUAAAAAUUAUGUUUGAAAAAGAAAAACUUAUUGACAGCAUGAAAACACAGCCAUGAAUAGGAAACAGUGGUCAUAAUAAGAUCUUCACUAAGGACCUUAGGAAAAAGGAUUUCAAGAGGAUCAAAGGAGAGAGAGAGAGAAGCUUUCUUGGGUAGUUAAAACAUUUCCAUUUUAUUGUGGCAUAAAUGAGGUGCAAAAGAAAGGAAAACUGAAAUUUCAUAGUUGUAACAUCUUCGGCCAGGGUGGUGAGAGAGUAGAGAAAUAUUUAAGCAGGUCUAAAGGAAUAAGGGACAUCUUACCAAGGCUGGUUGCAAGGAAAUAGCUCUCACACAGUCUAGAGGGAGCCCAUAGGGUUUGCUAAAAGGCAACAAAUUUCUUUGGAGCUAAAUGAAGUAUGGAUGACAUUUUAUUGUUGUUGAAAUAAGAUGCAGGAGGAUGAAUUGUACUUUUAAGUAAUACAUUUCCAGCUGAGAACUGUAAAUACUCGUUUUAUCAGAUGCUUUUUUAGCAUCUCUUACAGUGGUAUGAGGAAUUCCUGUUGACUCUUCAGUACUUUGUGUGCUCAUUCCUUUCCAUUUACUUUUUUAUGACCCCUUCCCAGCCAUACCAAUGGGCUCAGCUCUUCCUUGUCAUCUUUUUCUAAAUUAUUAAAGUUCCUUACCUAAUUUCUCUGAUUAUCAUCUUUUCCUCCUCUCAUGCAUCUUACAUGAUUGUUAGGCCUAAAACAUAUCUUAUAUCCUGGAAAUUCUAUAGUGGCUCUUUGUUUUCUGUUAAAUCAAGUCAAAAUUUUAGUCAGUAGACCUGUUUUGGCCUUAGGUUUUUCAACUGUAAAUUGGUUGGUUUCAACAACCCCCUUAUCUUGUGGGUUGUUGUGAGGAUUAGAGAUGAUAUUCACCUGAGUGCAGUUUAAUGCAAUUUAAUAUAAAUACUCAAUAAUUACCUAACAUUUGAAGCCCUCUUUAACUUCCCAGGCUUACCCAUUUAAUCUUAUUUCCCCUAUUCAGAAAUUUGUAUCCACCAGUAUGGUCUAUCUGACCUCUUUACAGUAUGCCCAAACAUACUGUGUUUACUGUCUGCUGGCUGAAGGUGUUGGCCCACAUCUUUCUGCUUAUUCAUCCAUCUUCUCAUCCUUCAGAGCUCAGUAAAAGCUGCUGCUUUUUUCAUCAAACUUUCCCAAACAAAUCCAAUUCUAACUGAUCUUCCUGACUUCUAAUGGUAAUUGCAGUCUUUCUUACACACUUCACCACUUGUGUAGUUUUGUGCUGUUUUCUGUAUAUUUCCUGUAUGGAUGUUUUAUUUUCUGUCCUAGAUUGUGAAUUCCUGAGGGCAAGGUCAUAUGCUUUAUUUGGUCUGUGUAAUGCUAGGUACAUGGCAGAUGUCUCAAAAAUACUUGUCUAAUUAAGUUGCUUCUCUGGUAAUACCUGUCAGAAGCAAGUUUUCCAGGAAAAAUUUAAUUUAGUGCUUCCAAUUCUUUGUUUUACAUGGUGGCUCUGGUUCGUAAUUUAAAAAUUUAAUGAGUACUGAAGGUUAGCUAAAAAGUAAAAAUAAAUAGAAAUAAUAAAAACCUUUUUUUUUGGUAGAGACAUGGGGUCUUGCUGUGUUGCCCAAGCUGGUCUUUGAACUCUUGGCCUCAAAUGAGCCUUCUUGCCUUGGCCUCUCAAAGUGCUGGGAUUACAGGUGUAAGUCACUCUGCAUUGCCAAGAUGUGUUUUUUUGUUGUUGUUGUUGUUUUAAAAUUGAGACAGGGUCUUGCUUUUCCUCCCAGGCUAGAGGGCAAUGGUGCAACCAUAGCUCACUGUAACCUCCAGUUCCUGGGCUCAAGACGUCCUUUUGCCUCAAUCUCCCAAGUAGCUGGGACAGGUGUGCACUAUCACACCUGGCUAAUCUUUAAAAAUUGUUUUAGAGGUGGGGUGCCACUGUUACCCAGGCUGAUCUCGAAUUCCUGGGCUCAGAUGAUCUUCCUGCCUCGAAGUGCUGGGAUUACAGGCAUGAGCCAUUAUGCCUGGCCUAAGAUAGGAUUUUUAGAAUUGCCUUUGAAUAGAGAAUGGCAGAUGCAGAAUAGGAAACUACUUGAAAAAAAAUUUACUUAUAAAAUUGUGGUGUUUUCAUGUACCUGUUUUAUAUUUCAUGUUACUUUAAGAUUAGAAUUAAUGGAAUAUCCAUUCCUUAUUCAGUAUGAUAGUGUUAAAAUAUUUAUUGCUUCUUAAAAUAUUUGCCACUUUAAGUGCUAAGUUAAUAUUUUUUCCAGAAUACUUUCUUUCUUGAUUAUAAUUAUUCUUGAUUAUACUUUCAAAAAAUGAGAAAAUACUGGAAAGUACUAGAAAAAAACAAACCCUACUUCUACCAGUGAGAGAUGAGCUAUUGCAUUUUGCUACCAGCUAUUAACAUUUUGUUGGAUAUACUUUCAGUUGUUUACUGCGUAUCUAUAAAAGGUAAGUUUCCCCAUCUAAGUUUCUGACCUUGUAAUUCUUAAUGUUUGCUUUUCAGCUUUUCCUAAAAGGAUUGUACACCUUAGAAGUGCUUGAGGAGGAGUGAUGAAGGCAAGUAUCCAACUCUUUGUAGUCAGUGAAAUUUAACUUGGUUCAUGUCCAGACCAAAAAGCUUUGGUCACCAU
ensembl:lncRNA